AGUGAACGCUUGCGGUAGGCCUAACACAUGCAAGUCGAACGGCAGCACAGUAAGAGCUUGCUCUUACGGGUGGCGAGUGGCGGACGGGUGAGGAAUACAUCGGAAUCUACUUUUUCGUGGGGGAUAACGUAGGGAAACUUACGCUAAUACCGCAUACGACCUACGGGUGAAAGCAGGGGAUCUUCGGACCUUGCGCGAUUGAAUGAGCCGAUGUCGGAUUAGCUAGUUGGCGGGGUAAAGGCCCACCAAGGCGACGAUCCGUAGCUGGUCUGAGAGGAUGAUCAGCCACACUGGAACUGAGACACGGUCCAGACUCCUACGGGAGGCAGCAGUGGGGAAUAUUGGACAAUGGGCGCAAGCCUGAUCCAGCCAUACUGCGUGGGUGAAGAAGGCCUUCGGGUUGUAAAGCCCUUUUGUUGGGAAAGAAAAGCAGCAGGUUAAUACCCCGCUGUUCUGACGGUACCCAAAGAAUAAGCACCGGCUAACUUCGUG
rnacentral:rRNA from 1 species